AGCACCCCGACGAGGGGAGUGAAACAGUACCUGAAACCGAACGCCUACAAUCAGUUGGAGGCCCCUUGAGGGCUGACAGCGUACCUUUUGUAUAAUGGGUCAUCGACUUGGUCUAUCUAGCAAGCUUAAGCCGUUAGGUGUAGGCGCAGCGAAAGCGAGUCUGAAUAGGGCGCAUGAGUUAGAUGGAUCAGACCCGAAACCGAGUGAUCUAGGCAUGACCAGGAUGAAGGUACGGUAACACGUACUGGAGGU
rnacentral:rRNA from 1 species